CAGCAGCAGCCGCGGUAAUACAGAGGGUGCAAGCGUUAAUCGGAAUUACUGGGCGUAAAGCGCGCGUAGGUGGUUUGUUAAGUUGGAUGUGAAAUCCCCGGGCUCAACCUGGGAACUGCAUCCAAAACUGGCAAGCUAGAGUAUGGUAGAGGGUUGUGGAAUUUCCUGUGUAGCGGUGAAAUGCGUAGAUAUAGGAAGGAACACCAGUGGCGAAGGCGACCACCUGGACUGAUACUGACACUGAGGUGCGAAAGCGUGGGGAGCAAACAGGAUUAGAUACCCCUGUAGUCCCUGUCUCUUAUAC
rnacentral:rRNA from 1 species